GCCUUGGUAGCAUAGUGGAAAUGCGCCACCUUGGUAAGGUGGAGAGCGCGGGUUCGAGUCCCGCCCAGGGCU
rnacentral:tRNA from 3 species